AGUCAUCAAAUUUUGCCGUUUGAGUUGGCCGGAAGUGGAGAGGAGCAAAGAUGGAGAAACGGCCCAAACGAAAGGGGGGCGCUGAAAAAUUGCGCGAAAAAAGGCUUAAAAGCCUGCAAGUCGAUGCAGCUAAAUGCUGCUAAAUAAGUGACAUGUUUGCCGUUGCUUCCACUAGUUCACCUGCGGCAGCGACUGCUGCUGCCAUGAUAGAAAAAGAAGCCGAAGUUCAGGGGGAGUCGGAGGAAAAGGAGGAGGAGGAGGAGGAGGAGGAGGACGGAGGGAGAGACGUGACACAGCAGGGACAGAUCGAGGAGGGCAUAUUUGGAGUGAAGGUCUACCUUUCCCUGAUGUGGAGUUUACAUGUUUUCCUUUUCUAUCAUUAGCAGCAAGGUCCAUGCAGCCUUUUGUCUCAGCAUAUGUUCCAUUUUGGUGAAGAGCUCCACUUUUAAUUCAAGUCUCUGCAUGGCCCUGAUGUACGGAAAGGCAGCCGCUUCCAAACUGCUCUACAUGUCACUACAUCCCUGUGAUGGUCAAUCGGGCUGCAAACAGACGGAAAGCAUCCAGGGGUCGGUAUCGUCAGGGAGCCAACACCUG